AUGAGAAGAGAACGAUGGUCGUUCGUCCGCCUUAUAUGCGGGAGGCUGCAGGUUCGAUUCCUGUUUCUCAUU
rnacentral:tRNA from 1 species